AUUUGCUCCGGCAGUACAUAAACUAAGAUUGGAACGAUGCAGAAAAUCUUAGCAUGGUACCUGCGCAAGGACGACACGCAAACAUCGCGAAGUGUUAAAUAUUUUC